rnacentral:misc_RNA from 1 species
AGCAGCCGCGGUAAUUCCAGCUCCAAUAGCGUAUAUUAAAGUUGUUGCAGUUAAAAAGCUCGUAGUUGAAUUUCGGGAUCAGUAGGUUGGUCAUGCCUUUGGUAUGUACUGGUCUCACUGAUUCCUCCCUCUUGAAGAACUGUAAUGUCAUUAAUUUGGUGUUGCGGGGAAUCAGGACUGUUACUUUGAAAAAAUUAGAGUGUUUAAAGCAGGCUUACGCUUGAAUACAUUAGCAUGGAAUAAUGAAAUAGGACGUUUGAUCCUAUUUUGUUGGUUUCUAGGAUUGACGUAAUGAUUAAUAGGGAUAGUUGGGGGCAUUAGUAUUCAAUUGUCAGAGGUGAAAUUCUUGGAUUUAUUGAAGACUAACUACUGCGAAAGCAUUUGCCAAGGAUGUUUUCAUUAAUCAAGAACGAAAGUUAGGGGAUCGAAGACGAUCAGAUACCGUCGUAGUCUUAACCAUAAACUAUGCCGACUAGGGAUCGGACGAAGUUAAUUUUUUAAUGACUCGUUCGGCGCCUUA